AAGAAAGCUGGUGGGGUGGCUACUGCUUUCUAGAUUACUCAGUGUGUGACUGGAAACACACUGGUCGCUUUGCACGGUCACAGCCGGCACAGCCUGUAGUCACAGAAUGUUCUGGGCUCACCCUCUUCUCUGGCCUGGGGAAGUGAGGCUCAGCGUAGAGGCUGUACCCACAGGCACAUGACGGUCUGCACCCAGGCCAGGGCUCAGUGAGGAGCCGGAGUGUCCCGGCCUGCCUGGACUCCAGCCGGGACCUCCCACAUGAGGCUCAUUCAUCUAUGCCCAGGAUUCUCAAAGAACCCCGGCCCCAGCCUGCUCUCUGUCAUGUGCUGAGCCCCAAGCUUACCCAUGCCUCCUGCCGUGGGGACCAGAGAAUGAGAAGACCACCAGGGAGACCCGCCCUGGAGACCAUGGUGUGCUGCUGACUCACGAGAAUGACAUCACCAAGUGUGCCCUCUGUCCUGUCACUUGGAGCUCCUGGAAGCACAGAAUGUCCCUCAGCCUGGACACUGCCCCUGGCCUGGGGAGGUAGAUGCUCCCCACCUCCCCUCCUGCCCUAGUGCAGAGGAAAGAAGAUCAAAUCUGGAGUCAGCAGACAUAGGAGUCUAAUCCCUGGUUCUGAUAUAUCUAGGCAGUCAUUGCCUUAGCCACACUCAGCCUUAAUCUCCUGAUCUGCAAAAUGGGGAGAACCACACUAACUUUGCAGUUUGCGAGACUUGGUGUCCCUGUGUUGCCCAGGGUGGUCCUGUACUGGCUUUUUAACAAAGGCUGAGACACCUUAGACAUAGCUACUGACAGCUCCCUGGCUGAAGUCCGAACACCCAGCACUAGCAUUUCUCUUUGUGGGGUCAAUGUGGGGUUCUCAGAGGAGUCUACCCAGGCAGAGCACCCUAGAUAGAGGUGCCCACUGCCCACCGGCCCCAGCUGUUAUCACCAUCGUGGUAGUCAUGCAGACGAGAGUAUCACUCUGCAUAACUGCAGUCCCAAAUUGGGGAUGCCAUCCUCAACAGGCUGUCUCCAAGGGCACACUGGACACAGGAUGGCCUCAAAGCCAGGGGUGUGAGACCAGAGCCCGCACCAUGCGGGCCUCUGCCACCUUGUAACAGGCAUGGGACAGCAAUGUGCCUGGCUUCCUGCCCCCAGGGCCACAGCCUUCUGGCCACAAUCAGCAGACUCAGCCCUGCCACAGAUCCGGGCACUCAGGACCCGGGCGCCCGUUGCCAGACUCCUGUCAUCGGUCUCCAGCCACCUGUCCAGACACUCGUGCACCCCGAUGGAACGUACUUGCUGCUUCCUCCCCUUUCCCUUACAAAAUAUCCUUCUAUAACUCUUCAUGGCACCAAACCUUUUACCAGUAUAUGCAGAGCCUGUUUGUCUCCGAAUCCAGUUUAGCUUUCCCAGUACAGUGACCAACUCAUCUCAGUUUACUCAGGACUUCCCUGGUUUUCACACGGAAAGUCCUGUGUCCUGGGCAGCCCCUCAGUCCCAGGAAACCAGGAUGGUUGCUCACCCUAUUUCCCAGCCUCUGCACCUACCAAUCCCCACCGGGAAAGCCCAGAUUAUUCACACCUCCACGUAGCCAUCUCUCCUGACCUCCAGCCUUCACAAAUGCUGUUCCCUCCACCUGAAUGCCCUUCCUCAUCUUUGACUAUCAAAAGCCAAUGCAAUGUUCAAGUCCAGCUCCUCUGUGAGGGCUUCCUGGUCCCCACCCUGGAGUCAGAGCUCCCUCCUCCAUCCCCCUGGGGCUCACUUUGAAGCUCCAAAGGGAAGGGCCUCAGGGCUGGGGCAAGGCAUGGAUCCCCCUGAGUGUGCAAAGCGUCAGAAUCAGUAACUGGCACAGCUCCAGCUGCCUCCCUCUCCUCACCCAGUAGUGAGCAACACGAGGGCAGAGACGGCUGGUUUUACCCCCUGUUACACAUCAGGUGCUCAUUAAUACUGUAUUCCCAACCUCCUCCAGCUGUGUUUGUCGGCCCCUCGGGCCUCAUGUUGUUGCUCUGGCACCCCAGGGGCUCAGGUGGAGCCACGGCCAGGACAGGCCUCACCAUUGGCAAGGGCACUCAAGCUCCCAGGUGGACUCCCAACCUAUCCAGGCACUACAGCCAAGGGUAAGAGCCCUGGACUGGGGCCGACCUGCUUCCAAUGACCCACCGUCCAACCUCGCCUUACCUUAUCCGUAGGAGCCAUUUGACAAGCUCUUGUUGAACAAAUGCUACACAUGAACACAUGGGCUGUGUCCUGAAGCUGGAUGUGCAGUCUUGAAGGAAUCCUACGCUUCAUGAAUGAGGAUUUGACAUCUGGCAGAGGUCUUUAUGAACACAUUUAUGAUCAUCCUUCAAAGCAACCACAUGAAAUGGGCCAGGGGCUUGUUCUCUUUUAGCAGACAGACGGGUUGAGUCACCACAAGAUGCUGUUAUGGUUUAAAUGUGUGGAGCUAUAUAUAUACAUACACACAUACACAUGUAUAUAUCAAUCAAGCUAUACUUAUCCCCAAUAACAGAGAGGAAAAAUAUAUUAUUAGAAUAAGAGCCGCAUAUUUUGGAAAACUUACCAUGUGCCAGAGACUGUUCUAAUUAUUUUAUAAACAUGUCUCUUGUGGUUUUCAAGAUAACUAUAGAAGGUAACUAUUAUUACUUUUUAACAAAUGAAAGCAAACCUCAGGUUAAGUGACUGGCCCAAGGUCACACAGCAAGCAGUGACAGAGCUAAGUUGCGCUGGCUCUAAAGACCAUGUGUUAUCAACAGCGUCCUCCUGCCUUCUUAUGAAAUGGAAUCCAUAUCAAACUGCUAAGCUUUGUUUUUAGCAAAUAACAUGACUGUCUGGGCUGUGGGCUUAAGGAACAGUGAGUUUGGGGGCAAAGGUCACCCUCUAAUAGUGCUUCAUAAUAUUUCUCCCAGAGAAAGACUCUGGAGCCAGGCAGAUCUGGAUCCAGAUUCCAGUUCUGCCACUUCCUAGCUGUGUCCUCUCACUGAGCUCUCAGAGGCCUCCUUGGCCCGCAUGCUCAGUGGAGUGUCUGGUUGGCCCCGCAGCCCUUGUGUCCAGAUCUGCUGGGCGACACAGUGCCUGGCUGUGCCCUGCAGAGGCUUUCCUGUCCCUGGCUCCCAUGCUUCCCCUGAGGAGAGCAGGCGAUGGGUGUCAGCUUAUGUGAGCCCUUUGGUUGCAUGGAUCGGGUGAAAAACAGACAGAGCUGAAGAAUUUGAACUGAGAUGUCAAUUGUGGAGCAGGAUUACUCAUAGCAGCCACCGCCCACUAGGCCAGAACACCUUCGUUUAAACAAACCAACAUCCCAGGGGACAGUGCCUGUUGAGCAAGCUGCUGAGAGCCCUUCACUAGUGCUGAGUCCUCAGGCCUGCAGGGGACACUCCACAUCUGACCCUGCAGGAGAGCGGUGUCCAGGAGCAGGCACCUCAGAUCCAUCCAAGUCACACAGGGAGGCCAGAAGGGCAGCGGGGACACUGAACGCUCUACACGUCCUGAGGUCCCUGACCUCAUAGGCUGGAGGGGAGCAUUUGCUUUGUCUUGUGGAAAGUCCCCAAGUGGAUGGGCUAACAAUCGAUUCCAGUUGCACCCACGCUGCUAACUCUGGCCAUGUUUCCUAUACUUCCGUUCCUGUGAUCCAUCUCUUGCCCCUUCCAGAUCAGACAGUGACCUCCCGGGCCUCCUGGGGAUGCAGUUGUCCUCCCUGCACUCAGAUCUGGAGCUGCUGCUUCCUAGCGGAGGAGUCAGCCUACCGAGCCAGGCCGUUGUCAAGCCCUGAGCCCUCCCCACUUCCGCCUCUGCCCGCUUUCCUGUCCCAGCUGUGAGCCUCUCCGGGGACUCAUUUAAACUGAAGACAAUUGCCUCAGAUAAAGAACAACUGGCCUCCUCCCUAUGUGGCUAAAAUUAUCAAAAACCGAAGAGGGCGUUGCUGACCUCAGCCUUCCCCAGCCUUUCUCCUGCCUUGGUCCACUUGAAUAUCCCUCUGGGAGCCUGUGACAGCUGCCUACGUGGGACCCCACACAGAAACGGGGCUGAAGAAGGCAGUCCCAGCCUCGCAAGGCAUUCAGUUCCUGCAGUGUCUGCAGCCAAAUCCCAAGAUAGAGCCAGUCUGCUUGGUUCCCUGGCCCCAGGUUUCUCAGAGCUCCUCCGGCAGCCCAGGAGGCUGAGCUGCACUGCCUGCAUUUCCUGGCUUCACAUCACGUACACAUAGAGCUUGGGGCCCGGGCAACCAUGGCAUGGAAGCCCAGACCACCUAAAUUCUUCCUUAGGACCACCAGUGCCAUUGCCUCAGCCAUAACCCCCUGAGACUCCUCGCGGACCAGCAUGGCGACUGGUCCCACAACCAUCUCCAUGCCUGCUUCCUCUUCCCCAUUCAAGCUUCUCAACAUCUGUCAUUCUUGGUGUUAGCUAUAUCCCAGCUCCUGUAUUAUUCCAUUGCAUCCAGAAUGCUUUGAGGAAGGAAUGUCAUAGACCCCCUUUUUUAACCCCCUCUUCCCAGAGAGAUGUGCUCAGGAAUAGGUGCCCAACAGGAAGUAUUUGAUUGAGAGCUUAUUUGUCCCUCCAGGAGAUAUUCAAGGAGAGCCCCCAUCCAGACCCCAAGCGAGAAGAGCUACCGUGUCUCACAGGGCCCACAGCCCAUCACCCACAUCAUCCCACGGAGGGCGGGGAUUAUGCCCAGUGUGCAGAAGGGUUGACAAAGGCCAGGUAGGGGAAGUGGCUGGCUCUGCUUACAUGGACCCAAGACUCACUCCAGAACCCCUGACCUUCCGCUGAAGGAUCUUUGCACCAACUCUCCUGGCCCCAGUGGGUCUGGCUCACCAGAAGUUAGGCCUGGAAGGGAGGAGGCUGGGUGGGGGGACAUAGAAGGCAAAAGCAGCAGUGUCCUCACAUGGAACUGUUCCUCCAGGUCCUUUCCCUGGGACCCCUCCCUGGAGAGCUCUCCCUGCUCUCUCUGGCUUCCUUUCCCUUCUGUCAACCCUAAUAGCAUAGGUUUUGGUGUCAGGCAGUCCUGCGUUGGAAUCUCAGAUUCCCAGGGACAGUCAUGAUUUAUACGUGUUGUCCCGGUAUACUAAUACAUCAAGGCUCCUUGUCACCCUCAAACAUGCGCAUUAGGACCAUGCAUCAUGUGUCCCGCUUACAAAGACAGAAGGCAAGGUCUGUGGACAGCUGGAGGAUGACCUAGUUAGGGAGCCUCUAGGAACCCAUCUAGUUCUGCGAUGGAGGGGAACAGAGAAUGGGGUGUUUCCCUGAUGACCCUGCUGUGGAGGAGCUGGCUGCUUCUGCAGGGAGAUGCUGCAGCCCCAGAAGGAAGCCCUGGCCAUGUGUCUCAAGUUGCUUUGCAAAACAAGCACCAGGAAAGAAAAACAGCAUCUAUAUUUCCCUGAGGUGGGCCAGCAUCCAGAGGCUGAAGGCACCUGGGGAUAGGGACACUACAUCACACACUUCAGGGGGUGCCAGUCAUGUCACGGUCUGUGUGAACGGUGCCUCCUGGGAAUGUACAGCUCCCAGCCUGCUCACUGCAAAGCAGGAAUUGGUGAGCUGUGACUAGAUGAUGUCAGAGAGCAAGAAUAAGUAAGGACCAGGAAAGCUACAAAAUAUAGAAGACUACAUCUUUUUUAAAUUAAUUAAUUAGUUAAUUUAUUUAUUUAUUUAUUAUGUUUUGAGACAGAGCCUUGCUCUGUUGCUCAGGCUGGAGUGCAGUGGUAUGAUCUCUGCUCACUGCAACCUCCAUCUACCAGGUUCAAGCAACUCUCCUGCCUCAGCCUCCUGAGUAGCUGGGAUUACAGGCGCUCAUCACCAUGCCCAGCUAAUUUUUGUAUUUUUAGUAGAGACAGGGUUUCACCAUGUUUGCCAGGCUGGUCUCAAACUCCUGACCUUGUGAUCCAUCUGCCUCAGCCUCCCAAAGUGCUGGGAUUACAGGCAUGAGCCACCAUGCCCAGCCGAAAGCCUACAUCUUUAAGGAGAGGAAUCAUUCUGUCUGGGGAGGAACUCCUUUAAAUCAGUUCAACUCAACUCAUAUGAACAAAUAUUGAUCAUGCAAUUACUGUGCGCUCUGCUGGGCAAGGCCAUUAUGGUGGGGGUGGCGGUGGGGUGAUCAGGCAUCCUGAUCAGGCAGGGGUGAUCAGGCAGGCGGUGGGGUGAUCAGGCAUUGAGAAGCUCAUAGGACAGGAGGGGAGUGCGCAGGGUCUGUCCCUUCCUCUCCCCAGGCAGA
rnacentral:lncRNA from 10 species